rnacentral:rRNA from 1 species
AUUGAACGCUGGCGGCAGGCUUAACACAUGCAAGUCGAGCGGGGAAGAGUAGCUUGCUACUUAACCUAGCGGCGGACGGGUGAGUAAUGCUUAGGAAUCUGCCUAUUAGUGGGGGACAACAUCUCGAAAGGGAUGCUAAUACCGCAUACGUCCUACGGGAGAAAGCAGGGGACCUUCGGGCCUUGCGCUAAUAGAUGAGCCUAAGUCGGAUUAGCUAGUUGGUGGGGUAAAGGCCUACCAAGGCGACGAUCUGUAGCGGGUCUGAGAGGAUGAUCCGCCACACUGGGACUGAGACACGGCCCAGACUCCUACGGGAGGCAGCAGUGGGGAAUAUUGGACAAUGGGGGGAACCCUGAUCCAGCCAUGCCGCGUGUGUGAAGAAGGCCUUUUGGUUGUAAAGCACUUUAAGCGAGGAGGAGGCUACCGAGAUUAAUACCCUUGGAUAGUGGACGUUACUCGCAGAAUAAGCACCGGCUAACUCUGUGCCAGCCGCCGCAGUAA